GCUGUUUUGGUAAUGAAUAUAGGCAAUAAGAUACACUGUCUUAUAAAAAAAGUAUGUGGACACCCCUUUAAAUUAGUGGAUUUCAGCCACACCUGUUGUUGACAGGUGUAUCAAAUCAAGCACACAGCCAUGCAAACUCCAUAGAAUAACUUACUGAAGUGACUUUCAACGUGGCACCGUCAUAGGAUGCCACCUUUCCAACAUGUCAGUCAACUAGAAGUGCUGUUACUGUGAAGUGGAAGGAGCAACAACGGCUCAGCUGCGAAGUGGUGGUGCUGUAGAGAGAGUCCCUCCCUGGGGAGUGGGAGCUACAGCCUGGCUAGGUGGUGGUGUAGAGAGAGUCCCUCCCUGGGGAAUGGGAGCUACAGCCUGGCUAGGUGGUGUAGAGAGAGUUCCUCCCUGGGGAGUGGGAGCUGCAGCCUGGCUAGGUGGUGGUGUAGAGAGAGUUCCUCCCUGGGGAAGUGGGAGCUAUAGCCUGGCUAGGUGGUGGUGUAGAGAGAGUCCCUAUCUGGGGAGUGGGAGCUGCAGCCUGGCUAGGUGGUGGUGUAGAGAGAGUUCCUCCCUGGGGAAGUGGGAGCUAUAGCCUGGCUAGGUGGUGGUGUAGAGAGAGUCCCUCCCUGGUUAGUGGGAGCUACAGCCUGGCUACUUGCUGGUGUAGAGCGAGUUCCUCCCUGGGGAGUGGGAGCUGCAGUCUGGCUAGGUGGUGUAGAGAGAGUUCCUCCCUGGGGAGUGGGAGCUGCAGUCUGGCUAGAUGGUGGUGUAGAGAGAGUCCCUCCCUGGGGAGUGGGAGCUGCAGCCUGGCUACGUGCUGUAGAGAGAGUUCCUCCCUGGGGAGUGGGAGCUGCAGUCUGGCUAGGUGCUAUAGAGAUAGUUCCUCCCUGGAGAGUGGGAGCUGCAGUCUGGCUAGGUUGUGGUGCAGAGAGAGUUCCUCCCUGGGGAGUGGGAGCUGCAGCCUGGCUACGUGCUGUAGAGAGAGUUCCUCCCUGGGGAGUGGGAGCUGCAGUCUGGCUAGGUGCUAUAGAGAUAGUUCCUCCCUGGAGAGUGGGAGGUGCAGUCUGGCUAGGUGGUGGUGUAGAGAGAGUCCCUAUCUGGGGAGUGGGAGCUGCAGCCUGGCUAGGUGGUGGUGUAGAGAGAGUUCCUCCCUGGGGAGUGGGAGGUGCAGUCUGGCUAGGUGGUGUAGAGAGAGUUCCUCCCUGGGCAGUGGGAGCUACAGUCUGGCUAGGUGCUGUAGAGAGAGUCCCUCCCUGGGGAGUGGGAGCCAAAGUCUGGCUAGGUGCUGUAGAGAGAGUUCCCCCCUGGGGAGU
rnacentral:lncRNA from 1 species